GACGAACGCUGGCGGCGUGCUUAACACAUGCAAGUCGAACGGAAAGGCCCUGCUUUUGUGGGGUGCUCGAGUGGCGAACGGGUGAGUAACACGUGAGUAACCUGCCCUUGACUUUGGGAUAACUUCAGGAAACUGGGGCUAAUACCGGAUAGGAGCUCCUGCUGCAUGGUGGGGGUUGGAAAGUUUCGGCGGUUGGGGAUGGACUCGCGGCUUAUCAGCUUGUUGGUGGGGUAGUGGCUUACCAAGGCUUUGACGGGUAGCCGGCCUGAGGGGGUGACCGGCCACAUUGGGACUGAGAUACGGCCCAGACUCCUACGGGAGGCAGCAGUGGGGAAUAUUGCACAAUGGGCGGAAGCCUGAUGCAGCAACGCCGCGUGCGGGAUGACGGCCUUCGGGUUGUAAACCGCUUCCGCCUGUGACGAAGCGUGAGUGACGGUAAUGGGUAAAGAAGCACCGGCUAACUACGUGCCAGCAGCCGCGGUGAUACGUAGGGUGCGAGCGUUGUCCGGAUUUAUUGGGCGUAAAGGGCUCGUAGGUGGUUGAUCGCGUCGGAAGUGUAAUCUUGGGGCUUAACCCUGAGCGUGCUUUCGAUACGGGUUGACUUGAGGAAGGUAGGGGAGAAUGGAAUUCCUGGUGGAGCGGUGGAAUGCGCAGAUAUCAGGAGGAACACCAGUGGCGAAGGCGGUUCUCUGGGCCUUUCCUGACGCUGAGGAGCGAAAGCGUGGGGAGCGAACAGGCUUAGAUACCCUGGUAGUCCACGCUGUAAACGGUGGGUACUAGGUGUGGGGUCCAUUCCACGGGUUCCGUGCCGUAGCUAACGCUUUAAGUACCCCGCCUGGGGAGUACGGCCGCAAGGCUAAAACUCAAAGGAAUUGACGGGGCCCCGCACAAGCGGCGGAGCAUGCGGAUUAAUUCGGUGCAACGCGUAGAACCUUACCUGGGUUUGACAUGGAUCGGGAGCGCUCAGAGAUGGGUGUGCCUCUUUUGGGGUCGGUUCACAGGUGGUGCAUGGCUGUCGUCAGCUCGUGUCGUGAGAUGUUGGGUUAAGUCCCGCAACGAGCGCAACCCUUGUUCACUGUUGCCAGCACGUUAUGGUGGGGACUCAGUGGAGACCGCCGGGGUCAACUCGGAGGAAGGUGGGGAUGACGUCAAGUCAUCAUGCCCCUUAUGUCCAGGGCUUCACGCAUGCUACAAUGGCUGGUACAGAGAGUGGCGAGCCUGUGAGGGUGAGCGAAUCUCGGAAAGCCGGUCUCAGUUCGGAUUGGGGUCUGCAACUCGACCUCAUGAAGUCGGAGUCGCUAGUAAUCGCAGAUCAGCAACGCUGCGGUGAAUACGUUCCCGGG
rnacentral:rRNA from 1 species